rnacentral:sRNA from 1 species
UACUGAAUGACGGUGCAGUAUCCUAGUCAGAUCUGCCGUCUUGUAAGAGGGGCCUAAAAAUCCCUUAAAGGGCACAACUGUGAAGCCUCUGGUGCUUGCUUCUUACGCCCAGUUUGGGGUGGGUGCUGGAGGGAGGCGCGGCCAAAUACCGCGCCUGCAAGAGUAGGGCGCCUUCCAAUGGCAUGGAAGACCCGACCCUGCUUUUGUGGAGACCUGAUCUUGUGCGCAGGCGUACUCCCGUAGUGGUCAAGCGACCUGUGUACGAAUCAGAUUGAGAACCUGCAAUGCGGUGCUACCCAGCCGUUUGGCUGUGAACGCUGUGUGCAGAGUAGCCUGCCUUGCGUGGAGCGGGUGGAUUAGGGAGCCAAGCGGAAGCGUCCCCGGCCAGGGAAGUUCUCCGAUAUUCCUCUGAAACCCCCUCUGCAAAAGAGGCUAAGAGAUGGUCUGACUGCAGUGGAAAUCACCUAGGCUGUCCCACAAAGGGCGCCGAUGAGGUUGCAGUGCGGACUAAGUGGCAGUCGGGUAUUGCGGCCGGUAACACCGCAGCUCGGGUUUUAAUGGGAAACCGCCUGAUCGGCAACGAGAGGUAACCCGUGGGGAAAUCCAACCCGUACCUAAGCCGUAAGAUUUAUCAUCGGCGCUGCCGUCAUUC